CAAUAAGCGGAGGAAAAGAAAGCAACAGCGAUAGCCUCAGUAACGGCGAGUGAAGCGGCUACAGCUCAAAUUUGAAAUCUGGCCUCCUUUGGUGGUCCGAGUUGUAAUUUGCAGAGGAUGCUUUGGCAUUGGCGGCGGUCUAAGUUCCUUGGAACAGGACAUCGCAGAGGGUGAGAAUCCCGUACGUGGGCGCCUGCCUUUGCCGUGUAAAGCUCCUUCGACGAGUCGAGUUGUUUGGGAAUGCAGCUCUAAAUGGGAGGUAAAUUUCUCCUAAAGCUAAAUACCGGCCAGAGACCGAUAGCGCACAAGUAGAGUGAUCGAAAGAUGAAAAGUACUUUGGAAAGAGAGUCAAAUAGCACGUGAAAUUGUUGAAAGGGAAGCGCUUGCAGCCAGACUUGCCCGCAGUUGCUCACCUAGGCUUUUGCCUGGGGGCACUCUUCUGCGGGCAGGGCCAGCAUCAGUUUGGGGCCGUCCGAUAAAANGUCUCUGUNAUGUACCACCCUUCGGGGGUGGGCCUUAUAGGGGGAGACGCAAUGCGAACCC
rnacentral:rRNA from 1 species